rnacentral:rRNA from 1 species
UACGUAGGGUGCAAGCGUUGUCCGGAAUUAUUGGGCGUAAAGAGCUCGUAGGCGGUCUGUCGCGUCUGCUGUGAAAACUCAGGGCUUAACCCUGAGCUUGCAGUGGGGUACGGGCAGACUAGAGUGCGGUAGGGGAGACUGGAAUUCCUGGUGUAGCGGUGAAAUGCGCAGAUAUCAGGAGGAACACCGGUGGCGAAGGCGGGUCUCUGGGCCGAUACUGACGCUGGAGGCGCGAAAGCCGUGGGGAGCAAACAGG